rnacentral:rRNA from 1 species
GUCCGCGUUUCAUUAGCUAGUUGGUGGGGUAACGGCCUACCAAGGCAACGAUGGGUAGCCGAUCUGAGAGGAUGAUCGGCCACACUGGAACUGAAACACGGUCCAGACUCCUACGGGAGGCAGCAGUGGGGAAUAUUGCGCAAUGGGCGAAAGCCUGACGCACCGACCCCGCGUGAGGGAUGAAGGUCUUCGGAUCGUAAACCUCUGUCAGAAGGGAAGAAACUAGGGUGCUCUAAUCAUCAUCCUACUGACGGUACCUUCAAAGGAAGCACCGGCUAACUCCGUGCCAGCAGCCGCGGUAAAUACGGAGGGUGCNAGCGUUAAUCGGAAUCACUGGGCGUAAAGCGCACGUAGGCUGUUAUGUAAGUCAGGGGUGAAAUCCCACGGCUCAACCGUGGAACUGCCCUUGAUACUGCAUGACUUGAAUCCGGGAGAGGGUGGCGGAAUUCCAGGUGUAGGAGUGAAAUCCGUAGAUAUCUGGAGGAACAUCAGUGGCGAAGGCGGCCACCUGGACCGGUAUUGACGCUGAGGUGCGAAAGCGUGGGGAGCAAACAGGAUUAAAUACCCUGGUAG